rnacentral:rRNA from 1 species
GGUAAUGCCGGAUGCUCCAGUUGACCGCAUGGUCCUCUGGGAAAGCUUUUGCGGUAUGGGAUGGGGUCGCGUCCUAUCAGCUUGAUGGCGGGGUAACGGCCCACCAUGGCUUCGACGGGUAGCCGGCCUGAGAGGGCGACCGGCCACAUUGGGACUGAGAUACGGCCCAGACUCCUACGGGAGGCAGCAGUGGGGAAUAUUGCACAAUGGGCGCAAGCCUGAUGCAGCGACGCCGCGUGCGGGAUGACGGCCUUCGGGUUGUAAACCGCUUUUGACUGGGAGCAAGCCCUUCGGGGUGAGUGUACCUUUCGAAUAAGCACCGGCUAACUACGUGCCAGCAGCCGCGGUAAUACGUAGGGUGCAAGCGUUAUCCGGAAUUAUUGGGCGUAAAGGGCUCGUAGGCGGUUCGUCGCGUCCGGUGUGAAAGUCCAUCGCUUAACGGUGGAUCCGCGCCGGGUACGGGCGGGCUUGAGUGCGGUAGGGGAGACUGGAAUUCCCGGUGUAACGGUGGAAUGUGUAGAUAUCG